rnacentral:rRNA from 1 species
GAUGAACGCUGGCGGCGUGCCUAAUACAUGCAAGUCGAGCGAACGGACGAGACGCUUGCUUCUCUGAUGUUAGCGGCGGACGGGUGAGUAACACGUGGAUAACCUCCCUAUAAUACUGGUAUAACUUCGGGAAACCGGAGCUUAUCCCGUAUGAUAUUUUGCUCCGCAUGGUUCAUAAGUGAAAUACGGUCUUGCUGUCACUUAUCGAUGGAUCCGCGCUUCAUUAGCUAGUUGGUAAGUUAACGGCUUACCAAGGCAACGAUGCAUAGCCGACCUGAGAGGGGGAUCGGCCACACUGGAACUGGAACGCGGUCAAGACGACUACGGGAGGCAGCAGUAGGGAAUCGGACGCAGUGGGCGAAAGCAUGACGGAGCAGCGCCGAGUGAGUGAUGGAGAUCUUCGGAUCGUGAAAAUCUGUUAUUAGGGAAGAACAGAUGUGUAAGUAACUGUGCACAGAUUGACGGUACCUAAUCAGAAAGCCACGGCUAACUACGUG